rnacentral:tRNA from 1 species
CUUGGGAUGUAGCUCAGUGGUAGAGUGUUUGCCUAGAAUGUGUAAAGCCCUAGAUUCAAUACUUAGCACAAGA